rnacentral:rRNA from 1 species
AGCAUACUAAUCAGCGGAGGAA